UACAGAGGUCUCAAGCGUUGUUCGGAUUCAUUGGGCGUAAAGGGCGCGUAGGCGGCGAGGUAAGUCGGGUGUGAAAUCCCAGAGCUCAACUCUGAAACUGCACUCGAUACUGCUUUGCUAGAGGACUGGAGAGGAGAUUGGAAUUCACGGUGUAGCAGUGAAAUGCGUAGAGAUCGUGAGGAAGACCAGUGGCGAAGGCGGAUCUCUGGACAGUUCCUGACGCUGAGGCGCGAAGGCCAGGGGAGCAAACGGG
rnacentral:rRNA from 1 species